AGUGAACGCUGGCGGUAGGCCUAACACAUGCAAGUCGAACGGCAGCACAGUAAGAGCUUGCUCUUACGGGUGGCGAGUGGCGGACGGGUGAGGAAUACAUCGGAAUCUACUUUUUCGUGGGGGAUAACGUAGGGAAACUUACGCUAAUACCGCAUACGACCUACGGGUGAAAGCAGGGGAUCUUCGGACCUUGCGCGAUUGAAUGCGCCGAUGUCGGAUUAGCUAGUUGGCGGGGUAAAGGCCCACCAAGGCGACGAUCCGUAGCUGGUCUGAGAGGAUGAUCAGCCACACUGGAACUGAGACACGGUCCAGACUCCUACGGGAGGCAGCAGUGGGGAAUAUUGGACAAUGGGCGCAGGCCUGAUCCAGCCAUACCGCGUGGGUGAAGAAGGCCUUCGGGUUGUAAAGCCCUUUUGUUGGGAAAGAAAAGCAGCAGGUUAAUACCCCGCUGUUCUGACGGUACCCAAAGAAUAAGCACCGGCUAACUUCGUG
rnacentral:rRNA from 1 species